rnacentral:rRNA from 1 species
UGCGCAGGCGGUUUUGUAAGACAGAGGUGAAAUCCCCGGGCUCAACCUGGGAACUGCCUUUGUGACUGCAAGGCUAGAGUACGGCAGAGGGGGAUGGAAUUCCGCGUGUAGCAGUGAAAUGCGUAGAUAUGCGGAGGAACACCGAUGGCGAAGGCAAUCCCCUGGGCCUGUACUGACGCUCAUGCACGAAAGCGUGGGGAGCAAACA